UGGCGACCGGCGCACGGGUGAGUAACGCGUAUCCAACCUGCCCUUCACCACGGGAUAACCCGGCGAAAGUCGGACUAAUACCGUAUGUUGUCCAUUGACGGCAUCCGAUUUGGACGAAAGGCUUAGCGGUGAGGGAUGGGGAUGCGUCCGAUUAGCUUGACGGCGGGGUAACGGCCCACCGUGGCAACGAUCGGUAGGGGUUCUGAGAGGAAGGUCCCCCACACUGGAACUGAGACACGGUCCAGACUCC
rnacentral:rRNA from 1 species